GACGAACGCUGGCGGCGUGCUUAACACAUGCAAGUCGAGCGAGGCCCCACCCUCGGGUGGGUGUCCUAGCGGCGAACGGGUGAAUAACACGUGGGCAACCUGCCCUCAGCACUGGGAUAACCCCGGGAAACCGGGGCGUAAUACCGGAUACGACCACAGGCGGCAUCUUCUUGUGGUGGAAAGAUUUAUCGGCUGAGGAUGGGCCCGCGGCCUAUCAGCUUGUUGGUGGGGUAACUGCCUACCAAGGCAACGACGGGUAGCCGGCCUGAGAGGGCGACCGGCCACACUGGGAC
rnacentral:rRNA from 1 species